GAUGAACGCUGGCGGCGUGCUUAACACAUGCAAGUCGAACGAUGAUCCCAGCUUGCUGGGGGAUUAGUGGCGAACGGGUGAGUAACACGUGAGUAACCUGCCCUUAACUCUGGGAUAAGCCUGGGAAACUGGGUCUAAUACCGGAUAUGACUCCUCAUCGCGUGGUGGGGGUGGAAAGCUUUAUUGUGGUUUUGGAUGGA
rnacentral:rRNA from 1 species